rnacentral:lncRNA from 1 species
CUUUAGGGUCACAAGGGCCUCUUCCCAGGUAUCAAGUGCUUUCCCACCUAUAGGCUUCUAUUCAUGAGCUGAUGCCUCUCACCCUCUUAUCACAAUUUCAACGUCACCUCCCCUAAGACCUCUGUGCCAACCCCCGUUCCAAGUAGGUUGCUCCUGCAGUUCUCUAUCGCUGUACCUGGUGUGCAUCCUGCCUUUAUUUGUUCACUACCUUACUUCCCAUCUGCUUUUUUUGCUGUACUGUAGACAGAGGCUGUCUGCUGUGCUCCUAGGGUAAGCCCAGCACCUAGCACAAGCAUGAUACGCAACAGACAUUUGACAAGUGUCAGCUGAAUUCAUGGCCAAAUGUAAUUGUACAACCACUAUGGAAAACAGUGUGGAGAUUCCUUAGAGAACUAAAA